rnacentral:tRNA from 1 species
GCAUUGGUGGUCCAGUGAUAGAAUUCUUACCUUCCAUACAGGAGACCCAGGUUCAAUUCUUGGCCAAUGCA